UUGGCUCUGGCCCAUUCUUGCUCUUCCCUGUUCUGCUUCUCAGAUUCGGUUUGCUCUCACCACUUUUACUGUGCUUUGCACCAUCCUGCCUGUACUUUUGGGUGAACCUGAGACAGAGAGAGAGAGAAAGAGGCUGAUCUGCCCAAAGUCCCUUAGCUAGUAAGUGGAUGAGCUGGAGCCCGAACCCAAAUCUUUUGCCUCUCAAUCCAGUGUCCUUUCUAUGACAUGUAGGCAUUUUAACGACUUCAGCUCACGGAAAAGGAGAAGAAGUGAACGGGCAAGUUGAUUCACUUCAGCCAACUGCUAUCCUUCCUGAAUACAGGCAGCAAAGGAACAAGGAUGACCAGAAGGGUGGAGAAUCCACCUAAGCAGCAUCUCAGAUCAGCUCCAUCUUCAGAGGAGAGCCAAGGGAGUCAUUAGGAAAGCGGAACCUUGGCUGUGGCUCACCGUGGCAGCCCCGACUGGAAGGAACAUCCCCAGCAGACUGAAAAGUGAUUCAGAAGAGUGGUGGUCUUGUCAACGUGAGUGGGCUUUAAGGCCCCCAGUCUCAGCUUUCAUAGCCAUAAAAGUAAAUUUGAGGCUGGAGUAGAGGAGGCUGGAGAGAGAAUGAGACAGCUAUACCAGCCCAUUUCAAAGGGACAGGGUCAUGAAAAAAGUAAAUUGAAUUGUGCCUUGUCAGAGCCAGA